CUACUCAAGUCAGCGGGCAGUUUCAUGCCAUCAUUGUGCACAUAAAAGCCAAGCUUUCGAGUUUGGCUAAUGGCUACUUGUUCCAUGUAACUUGGGAUAGCACUACUCAAGUCAACGGGCAGUUUCAUAUUAGCCAUCAUUGUGCACAUAAAAGCCUAGCUUUAGAGUUUGGCUACUUGUUCCACGUAACUUGGCAUAGCACUACUCAAGUCAACGGGCAGUUUCAUGGUGAUGACGAUCACCGCAAUAUACGGGGCAU
rnacentral:lncRNA from 1 species